rnacentral:lncRNA from 1 species
CCCAAAUAUAAAUUAUGAGGAUGAUUUUUAAGCCCGUGAUCUCAGAUUUACUAACUUCCUACUCAGGCAAAAUGCUUCUUGAUCUUGCUAGGCAUAUUUAUCGUGAUGUGAAUCAUGUGGGACAGAGCUGGGCUGGGGCUGGGGCAGCCGGGAUGAACGCCUGCCCCUCCCACAUGCUGAAAGGUGGCAGCUGGUGCUUCCAAACCGUGGGGGAACCUCACUUCUGCUGGGGGUUUUCUCUGAAUAAAAGCAGUUUUAAGCAUGAAUCCAUCAGGCUCAAAGCAAGAACUGGAUCUGUUUGCACAUCCCUGCAUUGUGUUCUGAAUUCAAGCACACCUAUGUGAAAGCUGUAGUCUCACCCAGUCAUAGCAGUGGUGUUUUGGAUUGGUUGGGUUUGUAAUGGGUCGGGGAGCAACCUUGGCAGCACAUUCCCACUGGUGAGUUUUUGAGAUACUGAAGUCUUUCUGGAAAAAAGCUUGUUGAUUUACUUUCUACUUUCUUCUCAGCUGGCAUAAAGACUCAUUUUACUAAAAUACCAGUUAAACCGAGCGUUCGUUAAUUUCAGAAAUCUGUCAGCCUCGAUAACAUUGCUUUUCUGUUUCCUGAGAAUACCUUGAAGUAACUGGCUUUGCUACUCCAAAGCAGAGCAGCUGUUGCAUGUAUGUGUUGUAUUUGCAUUGUAUGGCAGGGUAUUUGAUAUUAAUUUUAAAAAGUGAAAAAUCAGAGGCAACAGCGGACUGACUUUCACCUAGUGGUUACAGGAACUAUUGUGUUUCGCUGUUGAGAGAGAGCAGAGGAAAAUUCACACAUGACUGAGAGCUGGAGAAGCCUCUGAGAGCUGGGAGCUGAAGCCUCCAAUUAUGUAAAAUGGCUUGUGAAGGGUGAAAUUGCUUGGAGCUGAUCAAUUUUUAUUUAGGUGUCAGCGCUUUUUAAAAUCUAUGGAUUUUUUUAAACAAACUCUAAGGGACGAUAGAAGGAGGGUGAUGCUAGUUAACUGGUUAUUAGUUAUUUUAUGGCAGUCAGAUAACUAGUUAACCAGUUAUUCUGGGAGAUGCAGAUGGCUUGGGAUUUGAUGAGGUAUCAGUAGUCUGUGUUGUUGAAUCAUAAAGAGCACUCAACAGGCAGUUGGGCUGGGGGCAUCAUGCACCAGCUGCAAACUCAGCCCCAAGGGGGCCUUAGAAGGGCUGAGGACCUUCCCCUCCUCUGCCACGUGUGGGAGAGACCCCCAUUCCUAACUCAUAAGCAG